ACGUCAUGACGCAACACGCUAACUUCUAUCCAGCAUGUAUCCAGUCAGCCGCGGGACACGUUGUUGCAGCCUCAGGGAGCGCAGAAGAAGUGACAACGCCUGGAGGAGAUUGCAGCCGAAGGAGAAAGGGAUAUGAGAGAUAAUGGGAACUGCAGAUGCUGGAGAAUCCGAGAUAACAAAGUGUGGAGCUGGAUGAACACAGCAGGAAUGAGUUGGUUGCAUCAUAUCAAAACAGGAGGGUCUUGGCGGAAGAUAAAGUUGCUGGAAAAGCUCAGCAGGUCUGAUAGCACCUGUGAAGGAGUCUUGGCGGACUGUGAUCUUUGUCAUUUUUUUAAACUGAAGUUUUUUACCAGUGAAUUAGAAAUGUAUUAACCUCUAAGUAUAAGCGUGUCUCCAAUGUUUCUUACCAUGAA